rnacentral:rRNA from 1 species
GAUGAACGCUGACAGAAUGCUUAACACAUGCAAGNNUACUUGAACUUCGGUUUGGGUGGCGGACGGGUGAGUAACGCGUAAAGAACUUGCCUCACAGUUAGGGACAACAUUUGGAAACGAAUGCUAAUACCUGAUAUUAUGAUUUUAGGGCAUCCUAAGAUUAUGAAAGCUAUAUGUGCUGUGAGAGAGCUUUGCGUCCCAUUAGCUAGUUGGAGAGGUAACGGCUCACCAAGGCGAUGAUGGGUAGCCGGCCUGAGAGGGUGAACGGCCACAAGGGGACUGAGACACGGCCCUUACUCCUACGGGAGGCAGCAGUGGGGAAUAUUGGACAAUGGACCAAAAGUCUGAUCCAGCAAUUCUGUGUGCACGAUGACGUUUUUCGGAAUGUAAAGUGCUUUCAGUUGGGAAGAAAAAAAUGACGGUACCAACAGAAGAAGUGACGGCUAAAUACGUGCCAGCAGCCGCGGUAAUACGUAUGUCACAAGCGUUAUCCGGAUUUAUUGGGCGUAAAGCGCGUCUAGGUGGUUAUGUAAGUCUGAUGUGAAAAUGCAGGGCUCAACUCUGUAUUGCGUUGGAAACUGCAUGACUAGAGUACUGGAGAGGUAAGCGGAACUACAAGUGUAGAGGUGAAAUUCGUAGAUAUUUGUAGGAAUGCCGAUGGGGAAGCCAGCUUACUGGACAGAUACUGACGCUAAAGCGCGAAAGCGUGGGUAGCAAACAGG